CCUACGGGUGGCAGCAGUGGGGAAUAUUGGACAAUGGGCGCAAGCCUGAUCCAGCCAUGCCGCGUGAGUGAUGAAGGCCUUAGGGUUGUAAAGCUCUUUCAACGGUGAAGAUAAUGACGGUAACCGUAGAAGAAGCCCCGGCUAACUUCGUGCCAGCAGCCGCGGUAAUACGAAGGGGGCUAGCGUUGUUCGGAAUUACUGGGCGUAAAGCGCACGUAGGCGGAUUGAUCAGUCAGGGGUGAAAUCCCAGAGCUCAACUCUGGAACUGCCUUUGAUACUGUCAAUCUAGAGUCCAGAAGAGGUGAGUGGAAUUCCGAGUGUAGAGGUGAAAUUCGUAGAUAUUCGGAGGAACACCAGUGGCGAAGGCGGCUCACUGGUCUGGUACUGACGCUGAGGUGCGAAAGCGUGGGGAGCAAACAGGAUUAGAUACCC
rnacentral:rRNA from 1 species